CUACGGGUUGCUCCAGUGGGGAAUAUUGCACAAUGGGCGCAAGCCUGAUGCAGCCAUGCCGCGUGUAUGAAGAAGGCCUUCGGGUUGUAAAGUACUUUCAGCGGGGAGGAAGGGAGUAAAGUUAAUACCUUUGCUCAUUGACGUUACCCGCAGAAGAAGCACCGGCUAACUCCGUGCCAGCAGCCGCGGUAAUACGGAGGGUGCAAGCGUUAAUCGGAAUUACUGGGCGUAAAGCGCACGCAGGCGGUCUGUUAAGUCAGAUGUGAAAUCCCCGGGCUCAACCUGGGAACUGCAUCUGAUACUGGCAAGCUUGAGUCUCGUAGAGGGGGGUAGAAUUCCAGGUGUAGCGGUGAAAUGCGUAGAGAUAUGGAGGAAUACCGGUGGCGAAGGCGGCCCCCUGGACGAAGACUGACGCUCAGGUGCGAAAGCGUGGGGAGCAAACAGGAUUAGAUACCCCUGUAGUC
rnacentral:rRNA from 1 species